GGUCCUGUAGUGUAGCGGUUAUCACUACGGAUUCUGAUGUUCGUUGUCUUAUGUCUGAUUUCCGUCAACGCAGGUUCGAUUCCUGCCAGGACCU